GACGAACGCUGGCGGCGUGCUUAACACAUGCAAGUCGAACGGACAGGCCCUGCUUUUGUGGGGUGCUCGAGUGGCGAACGGGGGAGUAACACGCGAGUAACCUGCCCUUGUCUUUGGGAUAACUUCAGGAAAAUGGGGCUAAUACCGGAUAGGAGCUCCUGCUGCACGGGGGGGGAUGGAAAGUUUCGGCGGUUGGGGAUGGACUCGCUGCUUAUCAGCUUGUUGGUGGAGUAGGGGAUGCCCAAGGCUUUGACGGGUAGCCGGCAUUGGAGGGGGAACGGCCACAUUGCGCCUGCGAGACGCACCAGACUCCUACGGGAGGCAGCAGUGGGGAAUAUUGCACAGUGGGCGCGCGCGUGAUGCAGCGGCGCCGCGUGCGUAAUGACGGGCUUCGGGUUAUAAACAGCUUUCGACUUUGACGUAGCCUGAGUGACGGUAAUGGGUAAAGAAGCACCGGCUAACUACGUG
rnacentral:rRNA from 1 species